rnacentral:ncRNA from 2 species
CGAGUCGCGGCGGGAGAGCCCCCGGAUCCCUGGGGGCACCGAAGGAGCAACGACCCCGCCAAUCUCUCAGGUACCCGUACCGCCGUGACCAG